UUGCUGUAGCUUAAAACAAAGCAUAGCAUUGAAAAUGCUAAAAUGGUCCCCACCCACCAAC
rnacentral:tRNA from 1 species